rnacentral:rRNA from 1 species
UACGAAGGGGGCUAGCGUUGUUCGGAAUCACUGGGCGUAAAGCGUACGUAGGCGGAUCGUUAAGUCAGGGGGGAAAGCCUGGAGCUCAACUCCAGAACUGCCUUUGAUACUGGCGAUCUUGAGACCGGGAGAGGUGAGUGGAACUGCUAGUGUAGAGGUGAAAUUCGUAGAUAUUAGCAAGAACACCAGUGGCGAAGGCGGCUCACUGGCCCGGUACUGACGCUGAGGUACGAAAGCGUGGGGAGCAAACAGG